AGGAGUUAAUCAGAAGGGGUACAGCUCUUCUGAUAAAAGAAACAACUUUAGUAGGUGAAACAGGAUCAUAUUAACCAAGGACUAAGAUUUAAGUGGGCCUAAAAGCAGCCACCUUUAAAGAAAGCGUUAAAGCUCCAACUAGUUCUCUGCCCUAUAUACUGGUAUCAAUUUUUCCCCCCCCCUACCACCUACCAGGCUAUCUUAUGCCCCCAUAAGAAUAAUUAUGCUAAAAUGAGUAAUAAGAAGAAACCAUUUCUUCUCCUAGCAUACGUGUAAGUCAGACCGGACCCCCCACCGACUAUUAUUCGACCCCAAUCCAAGAGGGACAUAAGUUAAAGAAACAAGAAAAUCACUUAACCAAAAUCGUUAACCUCACACAAGAAUGCAUCAAGGAAAGACUAAAAGGGAAGGAAGGAACUCGGCAAACCCAAGCCUCGCCUGUUUACCAAAAACAUCGCCUCUUGACCCAUUAGUAUAAGAGGUCUCGCCUGCCCAGUGACUAAGUGUUAAACGGCCGUGGUAUCUUAACCAUGCGAAGGUAGCGUAAUCACUUGUCUUUUAAAUGAAGACCUGUAUGAAUGGCAAAACGAGGGCUUAACUGUCUCCCUCCCCCAGUCAAUGAAAUUGACCUCCCCGUGCAGAGGCGGGGAUAAAUAUAUAAGACGAGAAGACCCUGUGGAGCUUUAGACUUAAAAUAACCACGUUUAACAAACUCCUACACCAGAAAAAGCUUAGUGAGGGCUAUUUAAAUGUCUUUGGUUGGGGUGACCGCGGGGCAAAAUUAAGCCCCCAUGAAGAUUGGGGAGAUAUCCCUAACACCAAGAGUCCCCCCUCUAAGCAACAAAAAUUUUGACUUUAAAAUGAUCCGGUCUAACCGAUUAACGAACUCAGUUACCCCAGGGAUAACAGCGCAAUCCCCUUUCAGAGUCCCUAUCGACAAGGGGGUUUACGACCUCGAUGUUGGAUCAGGACAUCCUAAUGGUGCAGCCGCUA
rnacentral:rRNA from 1 species